rnacentral:rRNA from 1 species
UAGGGAAUCUUCCACAAUGGACGCAAGUCUGAUGGAGCAACGCCGCGUGAGUGAAGAAGGUUUUCGGAUCGUAAAGCUCUGUUGUUGGUGAAGAAGGAUAGAGGCAGUAACUGGUCUUUAUUUGACGGUAAUCAACCAGAAAGUCACGGCUAACUACGUGCCAGCAGCCGCCGUAAUACGUAGGUGGCAAGCGUUGUCCGGAUUUAUUGGGCGUAAAGCGAGCGCAGGCGGAAUGAUAAGUCUGAUGUGAAAGCCCACGGCUCAACCGUGGAGCUGCAUCGGAAACUGUCAUUCUUGAGUGCAGAAGAGGGGAGUGGAAGUCCAUGUGUAGCGGUGGAAUGCGUAGAUAUAUGGAAGAACACCAGUGGCGAAGGCGGCUCUCUGGUCUGCAACUGACGAUGAGGCUCGAAAGCAUGGGUAGCGAACAGG